GAAGUUUUCCUUUUUUAAAUCUCCUGCUUGAUGAGUCACAAAAUGCCACUGGCACUAUAUUACUAGUCACUCUAUAAAGCGGAUGCCAAGCACAGAUGGUGAAGAUGUUCCUGGCUUCCACCACUAUCUUGACAGUCCAAAUGCAGUCAGAGAUCACUGGAGAAGGGUAUAUGCCACACCUCCCAGCUGAGACAGCAAAACCUUCAGUCUCUUUCUAAAUGCUCUCUUCAGAACAUCAGUGAUUCAGGAACUGAAAUGAGCCCUACGUUAUAAUGUUUUGUCAAUAAAAAAGACUGGGUCAAAAUCACAUUACUGUUUGAAUGAAAGGAAAGAAGAUAUAAUGAACAAAAACAGAAGUGGAGAGUAGAUGCCACAACAAUGAGGAAAAGUUUCUGUUAUAAGAUGAACACAAAGCAUAUAGAAACUUGACGUUCUGGAGGAUUAUCAAACCCCAAAUGUGAUCUAAAACUGCAUUACAAAUAGAAGCUUUAACUGAAGUGUCAGACUCCUAUCUCUGAUUUGGAAAUCCCUUUGGCUCAUCGUGAAGGUAGCUGCUGUCAUAAGAAACUAGAUGUUUGAA